rnacentral:rRNA from 1 species
ACGCCCGACACCUACUGGAGGCAGCAGUGAGGAAUAUUGGUCAAUGGGCGCAGGCCUGAACCAGCCAAGUAGCGUGAAGGAUGACUGCCCUAUGGGUUGUAAACUUCUUUUAUAUGGGAAUAAAGUUUUCCACGUGUGGAAUUUUGUAUGUACCAUAUGAAUAAGGAUCGGCUAACUCCGUGCCAGCAGCCGCGGUAAUCUGAGCGGGCUGGCAAGGC